GGGUCAGUGGCCGAGCGGUCGAAGGCACCAGUCUUGAAAACUGGCAGGCGUGGAAGCGUCUCGUGGGUUCGAAUCCCACCUGGCCCGCCA
rnacentral:tRNA from 1 species